GACGAACCGUGCGAACGUUGUUCGGAAUCACUGGGCUUAAAGGGCGCGUAGGCGGCAGUCCAAGUCCGGGGUGAAAGCCCCCAGCUCAACUGGGGAAGUGCCUUGGAAACUGGAGUGCUGGAGGGAGGUAGGGGUCGAGGGAACUUCUGGUGGAGCGGUGAAAUGCGUUGAUAUCAGAAGGAACGCCGGUGGCGAAAGCGCUCGACUGGACCUUUUCUGACGCUGAGGCGCGAAAGCUAGGGGAGCAAACGGG
rnacentral:rRNA from 1 species